rnacentral:rRNA from 1 species
AGGAGUGCCUUCGGGAGCCGUAACACAGGUGCUGCAUGGCUGUCGUCAGCUCGUGUCGUGAGAUGUUGGGUUAAGUCCCGCAACGAGCGCAACCCUUGUCAUUAGUUGCCAUCAUUAAGUUGGGCACUCUAAUGAGACUGCCGGUGACAAGCCGGAGGAAGGUGGGGAUGACGUCAAGUCCUCAUGGCCCUUAUGACCAGGGCUUCACACGUCAUACAAUGGUCGGUACAGAGGGUAGCCAAGCCGCGAGGUGGAGCCAAUCUCACAAAACCGAUCGUAGUCCGGAUUGCACUCUGCAACUCGAGUGCAUGAAGUCGGAAUCGCUAGUAAUCGCAGGUCAGCAUACUGCGGUGAAUACGUUCCCGG